rnacentral:rRNA from 1 species
CGCGUAGGCGGUUUGCUAAGUUGGAUGUGAAAACUCUGGGCUUAACCCAGAGCCUGCAUCCAAAACUGGCAAGCUGGAGUUUUGGAGGGGGAAGCGGAAUUCCUGGUGUAGCAGUGAAAUGCGUAGAUAUCAGGAGGAACACCGGUGGCGAAGGCGGCUUCCUGGACAAAACUGACGCUGAGGCGCGAAAGCUAGGGGAGCAAACA